rnacentral:rRNA from 1 species
GGUGCUGCAUGGCUGUCGUCAGCUCGUGUUGUGAAAUGUUGGGUUAAGUCCCGCAACGAGCGCAACCCUUAUCCUUUGUUGCCAGCGAUUAGGUCGGGAACUCAAAGGAGACUGCCAGUGAUAAACUGGAGGAAGGUGGGGAUGACGUCAAGUCAUCAUGGCCCUUACGACCAGGGCUACACACGUGCUACAAUGGCGCAUACAAAGAGAAGCGACCUCGCGAGAGCAAGCGGACCUCAUAAAGUGCGUCGUAGUCCGGAUUGGAGUCUGCAACUCGACUCCAUGAAGUCGGAAUCGCUAGUAAUCGUGGAUCAGAAUGCCACGGUGAAUACGUUCCCGGGCCUUGUACACACCGCCCGUCACACCAUGGGAGUGGGUUGCAAAAGAAGUAGGUAGCUUAACCUUCGGGAGGGCGCUUACCACUUUGUGAUUCAUGACUGGGGUGAAGUCGUAACAAGGUAACCGUAGGGGAACCUGCGGUUGGAUCACCUCCUUACCUGAAAGAA